GAUGAACGCUAGCGGCAGGCCUAACACAUGCAAGUCGAGGGGUAACAGAAGAAGCUUGCUUCUUGCUGACGACCGGCGAACGGGUGCGUAACGCGUAUACAAUCUAACCUUUUGCUAAGGGAUAGCCCAGAGAAAUUUGGAUUAACACCUUAUAGUAUAUAGACAUGGCAUCAUGAUUAUAUUAAAGGUUACGGCAAAAGAUGAGUAUGCGUCCUAUUAGCUAGUAGGUGUGGUAACGGCACACCUAGGCAACGAUAGGUAGGGGCCCUGAGAGGGGGAUCCCCACACUGGUACUGAGACACGGACCAGACUCCUACGGGAGGCAGCAGUGAGGAAUAUUGGUCAAUGGGCGAAAGCCUGAACCAGCCAUGCCGCGUGCAGGAAGACUGCCCUAUGGGUUGUAAACUGCUUUUAUACGGGAAGAAACACCCCCACGUGUGGGGGCUUGACGGUACCGUAAGAAUAAGGAUCGGCUAACUCCGUG
rnacentral:rRNA from 1 species